CCUACGGGAGGCAGCAGUAGGGAAUCUUGCGCAAUGGGGGCAACCCUGACGCAGCAACGCCGCGUGUGGGAUGACGGCUUUCGGGUUGUAAACCACUUUCAGUGAUGACGAAAAUGACGGUAAUCACAGAAGAAGGUCCGGCCAACUACGUGCCAGCAGCCGCGGUAACACGUAGGGACCGAGCGUUGUCCGGAUUUAUUGGGCGUAAAGAGCUCGUAGGCGGUUCUGUAAGUCGGAUGUGAAAACUCAGGGCUCAACCCUGAGACGCCAUCUGAUACUGCAGUGACUAGAGUCCGGUAGAGGAAGAUGGAAUUCCUGGUGUAGCGGUGGAAUGCGCAGAUAUCAGGAGGAACACCAACGGCGAAGGCAGUCUUCUGGGCCGGUACUGACGCUGAGGAGCGAAAGCAUGGGGAGCAAACAGGAUUAGAUACCCUUGUAGU
rnacentral:rRNA from 1 species